rnacentral:misc_RNA from 1 species
CUGAAGGUGACAUAAAGGCUGCAGAUGGAUCAAAUUUAAGCUCCAUAGAGAUUGAUGCUCAAAUGAUUGAUCAGUUGCCUCAAAUAGAACCAAUUACAUCCGAAGAAAUUUCCAAAGCUGCUUGUGAUGAUGAUCCAGAUAGAUUAGAAUUGCCGCAACUGUAUAACAAGAUGUGCAAUGUAUUGGAGCUUAACAUUCAUGAAUCAAUUCAGACAUCCCUAACCAACAAACCGGCCAGUCUAAAGUUGAGGCAGGACCUUCUUCCAUUGGA